GCAUGCGCAGCUACCAUGCAGUCGACGAACUCUUCGGAGUUAGUGGCGGACGGGUGAGUAACACGUGGGAACGUGCCUUUAGGUUCGGAAUAACUCAGGGAAACUUGUGCUAAUACCGAAUGUGCCCUUCGGGGGAAAGAUUUAUCGCCUUUAGAGCGGCCCGCGUCUGAUUAGCUAGUUGGUGAGGUAAAGGCUCACCAAGGCGACGAUCAGUAGCUGGUCUGAGAGGAUGAUCAGCCACAUUGGGACUGAGACACGGCCCAAACUCCUACGGGAGGCAGCAGUGGGGAAUCUUGCGCAAUGGGCGAAAGCCUGACGCAGCCAUGCCGCGUGAAUGAUGAAGGUCUUAGGAUUGUAAAAUUCUUUCACCGGGGACGAUAAUGACGGUACCCGGAGAAGAAGCCCCGGCUAACUUCGUGCCAGCAGCCGCGGUAAUACGAAGGGGGCUAGCGUUGCUCGGAAUUACUGGGCGUAAAGGGAGCGUAGGCGGACAUUUAAGUCAGGGGUGAAAUCCCGGGGCUCAACCUCGGAAUUGCCUUUGAUACUGGGUGUCUUGAGUAUGAGAGAGGUGUGUGGAACUCCGAGUGUAGAGGUGAAAUUCGUAGAUAUUCGGAAGAACACCAGUGGCGAAGGCGACACACUGGCUCAUUACUGACGCUGAGGCUCGAAAGCGUGGGGAGCAAACAGGAUUAGAUACCCUGGUAGUCCACGCCGUAAACGAUGAUUGCUAGUUGUCGGGAUGCAUGCAUUUCGGUGACGCAGCUAACGCAUUAAGCAAUCCGCCUGGGGAGUACGGUCGCAAGAUUAAAACUCAAAGGAAUUGACGGGGGCCCGCACAAGCGGUGGGAGCAUGUGGGUUUAAUUCGAAGCAACGCGCAGAACCUUACCACCUUUUGACAUGCCUGGACCGCCAGAGAGAUCUGGCUUUCCCUUCGGGGACUAGGACACAGGUGCUGCAUGGCUGUCGUCAGCUCGUGUCGUGAGAUGUUGGGGUUAAGUCCCCGCAACGAGCGCAACCCCUCGGCCAUUAGUUGCCAUCAAUUUAGGUUGGGGA
rnacentral:rRNA from 1 species